CUUUAUAAGGCUUCAUACUAUCGGUGUUAAUGUGAAGGCCAUUUAGGAUUUACCUGUGCUAGCGACAUGGAGUUUUGUUAAUCUUCUUAUUACGGUGUAUGAUAUAAACGUGUAGAAGGUGACUGAAUGCCUGAGUUACAAUUGAAAGAAAAUUUGGAAGCCAAUGAAAAGGACAUUCUAUUAUAAUACAUAAUAUUCUACGAAUCGAUGAAGCUUUAUACACAGUACAGUGAAGAUAGAGUUUUGUUUUUCAUUGUUCUUCGUAUGUAGCUGAAAAUAAGUUAAAUGAAAGUUUUUUGUUGCCGCAUGAUAAACAAAGUUAGGGAAGGUGACCUCCCUCUCACUAUUCAAUGAUAUGAUCCCUACGACACACUCGACUGUUCUGCUACAAAUGUAGAUCUUAUUGUGUAGUUGUUCAUGCAGCCAUGAAUAGGUCAAUUCUUAUUUCAAUAAGGUAAAAGAAUCGUGAAGUUGACUAUUUUUAAGUUUAUUUAAAUUUGUUUGCGUUUUGUGAUUUCAAUUAACUUCUAUGAGUGUGUGUAUUUGAAUAGAUUGCGCGCAAAGUUUUAGAGUCAAUUUUUGUCGUAUAAAGUUUUAUGUAAGGCUGUUCACUACCUUUUGUUCAAAGCGUAUGUGUCUUAAGCGAUAGGUAUGUGGACAAAAUAUGAACUACGAAACAAGCGGGAAAUGCCGUAACCAUCAUACGUCUGUCGUAUCGAUGUAUAAGCUUGUGUUGAUUAUUCCACCCUCACGCGACAUAUCAAUUGGUUUCGUGUAGGUAGAGUUAAUAGUUUAGUAGACUGUGAACGAACUUUUCAGUCUCUCAUAUGUAUAUCUUUUUUUAUGGUAGCAUGCGUGUCUCACAGUGAUUCGUGUUAGAUAGGACGUCUGUACAUAUUUGUUUUACGAUAAAAGCAUAGAAAUAAUAAAUAAAAUUGACGCAUAUAGGAAUUAGUAUAUAAAUCUAUUUAUAUUAGUAUAUAAAUAGUGAAUAAGAAACAAUGUGAAAACAAAUGCAUAAAGAUCAUAAGGUACUAAGAUAAAGAAACACCAUGGCGGAUAAAAACAAAAGAAACGUUACUUUUUUUCAUAUGCCGUUUGUAUUAGUCAUGUAAAAUUAUACAUUUCUUCUUCUUUUGUUAUCAUAAAUUACCGUCAUCAUAUAUAUCAUGAUGUAUACAAUAUAAGUAUAUUCUUUUAUUUCUUCUUAUUACUGUUGUUAUUACUAUAUUAUUACAUUACAUAUUAUUAUUAUAGUAUAGUAGUAAUAAUAAUAAUAAUAUGAAGUGAACUACUAUAGAGGAAACUAUAACAAAAUAGCAUUGGGAGAAAAAUCUCGUAGAUUAUGUGGAAACGAACUCAUAUUUUGAUCUUUAUGAAAAAUAAUGUAUAAUAUGUUUAAAAAUUAUUAAUUCUGAAAAAAUAAUCGACAAAUAUAUAUACUUUACAUGCAUUUGUCAUGGAACAAAAUUAUACAGCUACUAUGUCCUACCUAGCACAGAUCACUGUGAAAUUCACAUCAGUCAUUAGCUGGUAGUAAUAUAACAGAUUGGAUAAUAAUACCUUACUAAAUUAUCAAAUAAAGAGAAAAAUAAGGAGAAAAAGAGUAAAUUAGUUCAUUAUUUUCAUUUACAUUGAUUUGACUAAAACAAAUAACCGGAAUCAUUGAGCUUCAAAUUUAAGAUUUCCUAAAUUACGGAUCUAUGUGCUUGAUUUAUAUGUACUUUGUAGAAUCUUUGUCUUUUUAGUCUAUAAAAUCUAAAAGAAAUUACAAAUUUUUUCAAAAUUUACCAAUAAUUUAUAAAUUUAGAUCCCUUGACAUAAACGAUUGGACAUGUAUUUUCUUAUUUUUAUCAUAAAAUCAUCUGACCAAAGUUUAUUAUGACCAAAAAAAUUUUUUUUUUGAACAUUUUAAAGGCAAGAUUUAAUCUACGGCAUAUUAGUUUCAAAGUUUUGAAAAAGUUUUUUAUUUGUGCAUAAACAAUUUUCCAAAAAUACCAUUUUUAACACAAUUUUUUUUCGAAAAAAAAGCUUUUUAAAAAAUUUGAGAUCAAUAGAUUAAACCUUCUUCUCAUUGAUGGCAUAAACCAUUAAAAAUCCUGGUUAGUGAACAGCCUUAACUUCUUUUUUAUAAUCAUAUAAAGUAUACAGGUAACACCCGUAUAAUGCAAUUACGAUAUAACGCAGUCUUGAAAUUAUUAGAUUUUUAUCUUUUUACUUAUUUUACCUUAUUUUGUUCAAAAUAUUUAUGCGUUAUGUGCAUGAAGUUUUGUUAGAUUGUGUGUUCUAUUAGAUUCGAGUCUCGCGUAACAGAAUUUAUAUAAUGUAUCAUUUCUAUGGAACGGAAUAUUUGCGUUAUACUGUUAUAUCGUUUACCUGUAUUUACAUAUAGAACAAACAAUAAGUAUUAGUGAAUUCAAUUCAUUGUCUUU